rnacentral:rRNA from 1 species
AUGUCGGAUCCGGCAUGCUACUCCUCUCCCUUCCCAAGUCGCCCUGGAUCUCGCGAUGCUGGAGGUGGCCGCCGCCGUUGCUAUGGAGGGCUUGCCACCCGCCUUCGGAGUCCCACGUCCCCGAUUCGACGGGAUUGCCAAGCCGAGGUCAUCAUCUUUCGACAAGCUCCUUCAUCACUUCUGGUUUCCCACAGUGGCUAUGGGUUGCCUCUCCCUCUCGAUCCUGCACUCCUCCUCCUUCGGUUCAGGUUUCAGGCCGUGGCAGAGGGUCGCCUCUCCAUAUCCAUCCUUCCAAUCUGGAGCAUAGGUGGAGAGCCUGGCUGUGUGCGGCGGAGAUGGCGCCCGCAUCUGCGCCCUAUAAGCCCGGACAAGGCUCCUCUGAGGCCAUGA